GGAGUGUCUGCCUCUAGCCUCAUUGUGAUGUGUUACUGGUGCGUGUGGCUAGGAACCCUGGGAAUGAAUGAACAAGCUCUUCUCCUCUGCUCUCAAAGUGCUGAGAAAAUCAGAAGCUGCAUCAACCUGGAGACCACAGACUCUACUUCCUCUCUGAUUUCCAUCAUCUGAUCUGGCUUUCUUCUCGAGCAAUACAGAAGAGAGCGCUCUCUCAUCCCCAUUGCCCUGGCUACCACACCUCUAUCGAUACAGCUUAACUAAGGUCACUUUUUGGUAACUGGCUGUAUAACUCUUCUGGCUUGUAGGAGCUUAAGGAUAAUUAAAGCAAUGAAGGAGAGCAUUCACUCACUUUCCACGUGCCUUAGGCAUUGCGACAAUCUCUUCGGGUGGGAAUGAGAGAUGAAGUUGCCUGGGCCAGCCAGCGAGAGAGAAUGGGAUCUCAUUGGACAGUAUCGGAAGGCUAUGUAAGUGUUUGACAGCUCAUGCUCACAAGAAUGGCCAGUUCAGGUCCCUCUGCAUUGUGUCCUUGGGUCCCUGGCAUUUGAAAGGAGGAACAAGAUAUUAGGCUUAUUGUAAUGAAG
rnacentral:lncRNA from 1 species